rnacentral:misc_RNA from 1 species
AUUAUUAUUAUUAUUAUUAUUUUCUUUUUUUUUUUUAGUGGAAAAGAAAUUGUAUUAACCAGAAGGAGAAGAAUAUAUCAACCUUUGCCUUGGUGAUAAUGGCAGGAAGAAUAAUUAUUUUUUAUUUUAUGUAAUUUAUAGAUAAUAAAGAAAAUAAAUUAGAGUGGAAUAAAUCAGGAAACAAGGUAUUGUUUGAAUUUAAAAUUUUUAUCUGAAGUCACUUCGUUAGAAAGUGAUUUACUUCGAAUUGAUUUCGCCAAACAUCAAAAAUUUGAUAAUUUAUCCUAAAAUUAAAUUAACUAGCAUUAUACAUUUAAGGUACAACUUACACCAUAUUGGGGAAAAAAUUAUACAACAAAAUGAAACCUAUCCAAUGUACAAAAUCUCAAUUAAAGCAAAUAAAAUUGUGAAUAGAGAUACUCCCGAAUCUUGUAGUAGUCUUCGCACAAGGGUCCUUCGAUAACAAUUUGCUGAGUGCCAGAACCACCGCCCUUCUGGCUUACAUUCCCAACUUUGCGAAGAGUAACAUACUCUCCACAUCGCAAUGCUCCACCAGCAAAUUCAACCUGGACACCCUUGCUAGCAAGGAACUGUUUGAAAUCCGCCAUUCUCAAAUCACCAACAAGAACGGAUUUAUGUGGGGGGGCUGAAGUAGUGAUGGGUAAUAAUGAUAACAUGCCACUCUCUGUUCUCCCUACCUCAGCAUCCACCCAAGCUAUUUCAUAAUCUCCCAACUUUUUAAAGAGCACAUUACUCAUCAGCUUCUCGGACAAUUGCACCUUGUAAGCACACAAAUCAGACGUAACAUCAAUGGUCUCUUCAAUUUGAGGGGCAUAAACUUGAGGACAGACAUGUUUUAAGCAAUGCUGCUUUAGAUGUUCUGUGGACUCAGCUGAUCCAUGCACCAAAACAAGCUUCAGAGGAGCCACAUGGGCAAGAAUUGAUUUAAUCGACCGUCCAUCAGAACGACCCUCAUAAUCCAUGUAAAUCAGCGAACACUUCACUUGAACAGUCAAUUCAUUGGACACAACUUUUGAAGGCUUUGUAUCAAGUAUCAAACUAGCACAUCCUUCAUCAAGUUUUCCAUCAAUAUCUCCUCCAACAUGCAUAGCUGCCUGGUCCAUGUCAUCAUCCUUAAUUACGUAGUCAUCAGGAUUUAUGACUUCACCAAAAUCGUCCCACUCAGUAGUAUUUUCAUAGAACGGAAACAUUGGUGCAACACUAGUGGGUGGAGGAACAAAUCCAUCAAUUAAUAUGUCCCGGUAUCCAGUCCCAUGUGAACCAGCUACUUCUACUGAAGCAAGAGUAUUGCUAGCAUCAGUGACCAUUGGAUCACCUGUAUUGCUAUCAGGCCCAUGAGAUGCUUUUAAUUCUUCCUCUUUGAUCAUACUAGCUUUCAGUUCCUCCUCCCUUUUCAAUUGCUUUUGCUCUUCUUCAUAAGCAAUUAGCUCAUCCCCGACUAAAGGAACCCUCCUCGACAUAGUAACUUUAACUGCCUUUGGAGGUGGAUCAGCCUGAAGCAUGCGAGCUAAGGUGCCAAAUUGGCCUCUUUCCGUGAAAAGCACUUGGCUUUUAGCAUCUGCUGCCCAUUCAACAAAUAUGUCAUGCGAAAAACCUGCUUCCAAACUGGCCAUGGAUGCUAGAACAACCUUUGGACCAUUUGGAGCAUUGUCUAGUUCACUCUUGUUGACUAGAAGUGUCACAUGCUUCAGAAGAAAAGCAUUGUCACGAGAAGUUUCAAAAGACUUUGCAAUUGAAUCACUCAUCCACUCUAAGAAACUCUUGACAUAGUCAAUGGUACUUGAUGCAACAUAUGUCAGAAAGAAUAUUGGAUAGUUCAAGAGACGUUGUGCCCAGAACUGUUCCAUUAUUAAGAUAAGCUCCAGCACUCGCCCAGCACUAUCAACAGGAAGUAAUACAUUUCCACCCGCUUCUAGAGUCUUUAAAAUAGUCUUCUCUACAUCAAUUACAGAAAAAUAGCUCUAGAAAUUUAAAAUCUUCAUUAUAUAAGUUGCAUGUAAAUAUUGGUGAGAGCGUAACCAUGUCUAGAAAUGCAUGCCCACAAAAGAUGAUGAAGGUGAGAAACAGUGACUACUACUAAGCUAAAUACAAAGAUAAAAUACCUAGAAAUUCUUUCUCUUUGCUGUCUAGGAGGCUGAUUACUCAAAGCAUUAUAGGCAUCAGUUAUGAGAAUAGCAGGUCGGACAAAUGACUCCAGAACAGUACCAUUCAAAUGCCUUUCUUUGCGGUGAUUGAAGUCAACAGCAUAUACAACAUCCUCACCAUCCUUGGUUAUCUUCCAGACAGUACCUCCCAGGAGAUGCCCAGCUACAUGAGGAGCAAUAACAAUCCCCUCUCCUUUUCCAGAAAGAUGAUGAUUCUGCGAGUAAGUUAGCCUGGUAACAUUCUGAAAAGCAGAAUCAAUAUCAUCCAGAGUAAACAAAUCGAACUCCGAAACUGCCUUUCGAGAGAAAUACUGAUCAUACAUGGUUAGGAGACCUAAUCGGUAGACUGGCUCCGUGGAAUAAACCGGAGCCGAGAGGCCAAGCUGUUUCAUGGCAUAGGGCAAUGCGCCUAGAUGAAGCGUAUCGGAAUGCGACAAUAGUACAGCAUCUAUGGCCGAAGCUACCCUGGAGAGAGGUUGAAGAAGAGAGGGGUCGAAGUAAUCGUUCCAGCCGCAAUCGAUUAGGAAAUUGAAGCCAUCAAUGGAGACCAAAUAGGAUAAUGGAUUCUCGUUGAAUACUCCGCAUAGUGGCGUUAAGUGCACCGAUGUUCCCAUUCUUCUCUUCUCUUCUCUUCUUUACUAUCUGCUACUGCUGGUAUCCCUCCGACUGUAAAACUUUUAUCGAGACUAAUUGAGGUUUUGGCUAUCCAAUGAG